CUCUGAUUUCUUCAGUCAGCCUUUCAUCUGCUGUGAAGGCACUUGAAUGUGUCACCAAUGUGAUGCAAGUUAAAGGGAACAGUUGAAUUCUACCUUAUAAUUGUUUAAAGAACAGUUAUCCUGCAGCAUAUUCCCUUUGGGGAUGCAUUCUAAUGUCCUAGAGUGUGCUGAAAGCUUGUUUGAAAUGGAUCUCUGUCUUUUGCAACUUGAACCUUGAGUAAUAGUGACAGUACUACUAGUGGUGAAUGUGACAAAUUCCAAUGCACAGGAUUUGGGGAAGUUGCUGUGUAAGAAGAAUAUACUUCAUGAAGCCACCAUGGGAGGAAGAAAGCAUAAGGAAGCCUGCACAUGGAUUUUUCCAGACUCCACAUACUGUAUAUCCUUCCAACAUUGCUGUAAUAAGUCUUAGC